AUGAACGCUGGCGGCGUGCCUAAUACAUGCAAGUCGAGCGCACGGACGAGAAGCUUGCUUCUCUGAUGUUAGCGGCGGACGGGUGAGUAACACGUGGAUAACCUACCUAUAAGACUGGGAUAACUUCGGGAAACCGGAGCUAAUACCGGAUAAUAUUUUGAACCGCAUGGUUCAAAAGUGAAAGACGGUCUUGCUGUCACUUAUAGAUGGAUCCGCGCUGCAUUAGCUAGUUGGUAAGGUAACGGCUUACCAAGGCAACGGUGCAUAGCCGACCUGAGAGGGUGGUCGGCCGCACUGGAGCUGGGACACGGUCCAGACGCCUACGGGAGGCAGCAGUAGGGAAUCUUCCGCGAUGGGCGAAAGCCUGACGGAGCAACGCCGCGUGAGUGAUGAAGGUCUUCGGAUCGUAAAACUCUGUUAUUAGGGAAGAACAUAUGUGUAAGUAACUGUGCACAUCUUGACGGUACCUAAUCAGAAAGCCACGGCUAACUACGUG
rnacentral:rRNA from 1 species